rnacentral:rRNA from 1 species
GAUGAACGCUGGCGGCGUGCCUAAUACAUGCAAGUCGAGCGAACAGACGAGGAGCUUGCUCCUCUGACGUUAGCGGCGGACGGGUGAGUAACACGUGGAUAACCUACCUAUAAGACUGGGAUAACUUCGGGAAACCGGAGCUAAUACCGGAUAAUAUAUUGAACCGCAUGGUUCAAUAGUGAAAGACGGUUUUGCUGUCACUUAUAGAUGGAUCCGCGUCGCAUUAGCUAGUUGGUAAGGUAACGGCUUACCAAGGCGACGAUGCGUAGCCGACCUGAGAGGGUGAUCGGCCACACUGGAACUGAGACACGGUCCAGACUACUACGAGAGGCAGCAGAAGGGAAUCGGCCGCAAUGGGCGAAAGCCUGACGGAGCAGCGGCGCGUGAGUGAUGAAGGUCUUCGGAUCGUAAAACUCUGUUAUUAGGGAAGAACAUAUGUGUAAGUAACUAUGCACAGCUUGACGGUACGUAAUCAGAAAGCCACGGCUAACUACGUG